rnacentral:lncRNA from 1 species
AAAAUUUUUAUUGUGGUUAGAGUUCCACAGUAACAAAACCCUUAAACUUUCUCGAAUGUAGGAUUUUCUAGCUUUCCGGUAAAUUUGGGUUGCCAUGGAGAGAAAGAGGCCUGGAACAAGCUAAAGGUAAAACACUGGAAACAACACCCCAGUCCUCUGCAACCCUAUCAAACAGUUAAUUAGAAAGACCUGCCAUGUGUUUCCCAUUCCUUGCAAGGGAUUCGAUUGCCUGUGAUUUAUCACCUGUUUUCUAUGCAAAGCUUCAGCUCUCCUUUAUUGAAUGUGCUGAGGAUGACUGGAGGUUGUAUAAGCAGUAAAGAGGGAGAGGGAGAGAAAGAGAAGGAGAUGGGGAGAAAGAAAGGGGUUGAGUGAAUAAAUGCCCCUUAGCUUCCUUAUUAAGCUUUCUCGGAAUGCACAGUUGGUUCAUUAGUAUUGACGAAUAGUAGACAAACUUUUGAACCACAAACAUGAAACAUCAGAUGAACUGAGUUAUAGGUUCAAUUUUGAGACUUACUAGCUCGGUAACUCUGAGCUUGUUUUGUCUUCUAUAAAAUGGGGAUCAUUACACUUCCCCUAGAUAUUCCUUUUACAGGGUUGUUGUAGAAAUAAAGCUAGAAACAAAAACAUAUUGUAAUACAUUACAAAAACACGCUGUAACCAUAAUGCAGUCUACUAAUAAGAAUGGUUAUUCAUUUCUCUGUCAUUAUCACAAGGAAUUUUAAGAUUUUGGGAAGGGCACUGACCACCUAGAAUGUGAAGAGAAGGGACAUUUGGAGGAGGAAGGGACCGACUGGAGGGUAAGGCAUAUACAAAGCUGGAUCAAAUUGGGAAUAUUGAAUCUGGGGAAGAAAAAUACCUUCAAGUAUGUACAGGACCAUUUUAAGGAGACUGCCUUUCCUCUGCCUUCCUGAGUGGCAAGGUAUGCCAGUGAGAAAAAUGAUGUUCUGGCCUUGGAACCACCUCCCAUGGGACCAGAUGCCAAGGAACACCAAGGAAUGCUCUCCUUUUAACAAAAGAGACAAUGAUUCUCUUUCUGCCCACCAUGCUGGGGGAAAGGGGCAAGAGUUUGAUGGACUACCUCCUAAUUAUCUACUUAUCAAUUAGAGAUUGGGAUGUUCAAGGAAGUGCUGAAUAAUGAGCUCCUGAAACUCAAUUUAUAGAUCUACCUGGAGAGCCUUCAAGGUCUUUGGACUUUGAGGGGGCCACUAUCCAAUCAAUCUAUUGGUUAUAAUGCUAGCCUAAUCGAAAUAUUGAUAUUCUUACUCCAAAACUAGUUUCUCAAAAUAAAUUUAAUCAUAACAAACA